GUUGAACGCUGGCGGCAGGCUUAACACAUGCAAGUCGAGCGGGGAAGGGUAGCUUGCUACCUAACCUAGCGGCGGACGGGUGAGUAAUGCUUAGGAAUCUGCCAUUUAGUGGGGGACAACAUUCCGAAAGGAAUGCUAAUACCGCAUACGUCCUACGGGAGAAAGCAGGGGAUCUUCGGACCUUGCGCUAAAUGAUGAGCCUAAGUCGGAUUAGCUAGUUGGUGGGGUAAAGGCCUACCAAGGCGACGAUCUGUAGCGGGUCUGAGAGGAUGAUCCGCCCCACUGGGACUGAGAAACGGCCCAGACUCCUGCGGGAGGAAGCAGUGGGGAAUAUUGGACAAUGGGCGGAAGCCUGAUCCAGCCAUGCCGCGUGUGUGAAGAAGGCCUUAUGGUUGUAAAGCACUUUAAGCGAGGAGGAGGCUACUUAGAUUAAUACUCUAGGAUAGUGGACGUUACUCGCAGAAUAAGCACCGGCUAACUCUGUGCCAGCCGCCGCAGUAA
rnacentral:rRNA from 1 species